CACGUAGGCGGAUAUUUAAGUCAGGGGUGAAAUCCCAGAGCUCAACUCUGGAACUGCCUUUGAUACUGGGUAUCUUGAGUAUGGAAGAGGUAAGUGGAAUUCCGAGUGUAGAGGUGAAAUUCGUAGAUAUUUGGAGGAACACCAGUGGCGAAGGCGGCUUACUGGUCCAUUACUGACGCUGAGGUGCGAAAGCGUGGGGAGCAAACA
rnacentral:rRNA from 1 species